CCUACGGGAGGCAGCAGUGAGGAAUAUUGGUCAAUGGGCGAGAGCCUGAACCAGCCAAGUCGCGUGAGGGAGUACUGCCCUAUGGUUUGUAAACCUCCUUUGUCGGGGAGCAAAAGCCGGACGUGUCCGGCUGUGAGAGUACCCGAAGAAAAAGCAUCGGCUAACUCCGUGCCAGCAGCCGCGGUAAUACGGGGGAUGCGAGCGUUAUCCGGAUUUAUUGGGUUUAAAGGGUGCGCAGGCGGAUUUUUAAGUCAUCGGUAAAAUCGUGGGAUUAAACCCCAUCCAGCCGUUGAAACUGGGGAUCUAGAGUGUGCGAGAGGUAUGCGGAAUGCGUGGUGUAGCGGUGAAAUGCAUAGAUAUCACGCAGAACCCCGAUUGCGAAGGCAGCAUACCGGUGCACAACUGACGCUCAGGCACGAAAGCGUGGGUAUCGAACAGGAUUAGAUACCCCUGUAGUC
rnacentral:rRNA from 1 species